CAGGUUUACCUGUGUGACUGCGUACCUUUUGUAUAAUGGGUCAGCGACUUAUAUUCUGUAGCAAGGUUAACCGUAUAGGGGAGCCGUAGGGAAACCGAGUCUUAACCGGGCGUUAAGUUGCAGGGUAUAGACCCGAAACCCGGUGAUCUAGCCAUGGGCAGGUUGAAGGUUGGGUAACACUAACUGGAGGACCGAACCGACUAAUGUUGAAAAAUUAGCGGAUGACCUGUGGCUGGGGGUGAAAGGCCAAUCAAACCGGGAGAUAGCUGGUUCUCCCCGAAAGCUAUUUAGGUAGCGCCUCGUGAAUUCAUCUCCGGGGGUAGAGCACUGUUUCGGCUAGGGGGCCAUCCCGGCUUACCAACCCGAUGCAAACUGCGAAUACCGGAGAAUGUUAUCACGGGAGACACACGGCGGGUGCUAACGUCCGUCGUGAAGAGGGAAACAACCCAGACCGCCAGCUAAGGUCCCAAAGUCAUGGUUAAGUGGGAAACGAUGUGGGAAGGCCCAGACAGCCAGGAUGUUGGCUUAGAAGCAGCCAUCAUUUAAAGAAAGCGUAAUAGCUCACUGGUCGAGUCGGCCUGCGCGGAAGAUGUAACGGGGCUAAACCAUGCACCGAAGCUGCGGCAGCGACGCUGAUGCGUUGUUGGGUAGGGGAG
rnacentral:rRNA from 1 species